rnacentral:rRNA from 1 species
CGGCGUGCCUAACACAUGCAAAGUCGAGCGCGUCUGAUUUGAUGCUUGCAUUGAUGAAAAGAUGAGCGGGCGGACGGGUGAGUAACGCGUGGGUAACCUGCCCUAUACACAUGGAUAACAUACUGAAAAGUUUACUAAUACAUGAUAAUAUAUAUUUACGGCAUCGUAGAUAUAUCAAAGUGUUAGCGGUAUAGGAUGGACCCCGCGUCUGAUUAGCUAGUUGGUGAGAUAACUGCCCCACCCAAGGCGACGAUCAGUAGCCGACCUGAGAGGGUGAUCGGCCACAUUGGAACUGAGACACGGUCCAAACUCCUACGGGAGGCAGCAGUGGGGAAUAUUGCACAAUGGGCGCAAGCCUGAUGCAGCAACGCCGCGUGAACGAUGAAGGUCUUCGGAUCGUAAAGUUCUGUUGCAGGGGAAGAUAAUGACGGUACCCUGUGAGGAAGCCCCGGCUAACUACGUGCCAGCAGCCGCGGUAAU